UCAGUUUCAAAAAUCUUCAAAAGGUAUAUUCCUAUGGUUUUUUAGUGAUUUAAGUUAAUAAACAAGUGAAUAAAACUUUCGUAGUGAUUGCAUGUCAGUAUAAUGAUGUUUCUAGGGUUUAUUUUUAAUUUUUGACAAAAAACUAAUUGUUCAUCUUUAUGUGAUUCUAUAACAGCAAGUAGAUCUCAUUUAUUUGAUUGUGAAAGCAUAAUUUAAUGGCUAGAACUAGAGGACGUAUGUUCAUUUUUGUUUGUGAGGAGAUUUUGAAAAUUUCUUAUGAUUGCAUACUUUUUUUAUGAUUUGACUGUUAUUGAAUAUCACACUUCUAGUGAUUGUAUUUUUCAUCACAUUAUGUGUUAGUGAUUCUAUUUAUUAUAGUAUUUCUGUAAUUGCAUACUUGUUUUUUAUGAUUGUAAGUUUCAGCACAUUAUGUGUUAAUCACUAUCUUCUUCAAAUUAUAUUAGUAAUUAUCUGUUUAUAUUUUAGUGAUUGUCAUGCUGAUGGUGAUAACAAAUUGAACGUAUUAUGUUCUCCUAUUUAAACUUCAGUGAUUAAGAGCUAUUGAUUGAACAGCCUAUGUGUGUUUGAGUACUAAGUUGAUUAGCCCAAGCUAAUGAGAAUUCAAUAAUUAAAAUAACAUAGUUGUUAAUUGCUAGUAAUUUUGUAGCCAGAUGUAUACACACAUUAAUGUCCUUAAGACUAUCAGAGGAGGAUAAUUAUAACUUAAAAAUCUAUAUCUAUAUAAGAAACUACUAAGAGUCAUGUGAUUAAUUGUGUACCUUAGGCUUGUAUUAUAGUGAUUGAUUAACUUAUAAUUAUCAUUUCUAUACUUGUUUUGUAGUGAUUGCACGCUCUUAUGAUAAAAACAGAGUAUAUCAUCACCUUAGUGCUAGCAUAUAUAGCAUUACUACCAUACAUGUUGAUUUAGUGUCAAAACAUGUAACUAAAUAUUUGGUGGCAUUCACUAUGUUAUUAGAUUCAAAACUGUUGUUUUGAACUUGAAAUUUCUUUUUUAAUGUGAUAUAAUACUAUAUCUGCAUAAACUUAAAUGGCGUACACAUGUGCAAUAUUAUGUUCAUUAGUGCAUAAACUACAAAACAUUGAUGCAACUUUUUGAUUCUAUGUUUGUGUUAUAGUGAUUGUAGCCUUUUAUUACAAAGUGAUUGUAACCUCUAGUGGGACUAUGUUGAAUGGGGGUGGGAGUGUCCUUAGGGGCAUGAUGACUCUUAGGGGACGAGUGAUAACUUCUAGGGCGGGGGAUGAUGAUUUUUAGAGGGCGGGUGAUGACUUCUAGGGGGUUGAUGAUUUUUACAGGGAGGGUGAUGAUUUCUAGGGGGCAUGAUGACUUUUACAGGGCGGGUGAUGACUUCUAGGGGGAUGAUGACUUUUACAGGGCGCUUGAAGGCUUCUAGGGGGGUUAACUAAUUUAGUUUUUAUUUUGUGGUUUUUGUUCCAAUUGUUUAUAGUGGUUAUAUACACGUUGAAGAAGUUGAAAUCUGUUCUCGAUGAGUUUAUAAAGGAAUUUUGUAAUGAUUUGUAAAAUACCUUGCUUCUUGUGCAAUACCAAUUUGUUUAAAAACAACAUGAUAUUGUGCUCUGUCUCUUUUAGUUGAUUGUAGAAUUAUAUAUUAUAGUGACUCUGAUAAGAAACUACUAUAUAUUAGAGUCAUGUGAUCUUUUAUUUUUAACUUAGGCAUGUACAAUAGUGAUUGUAGGCUUUCCAUGACCAACUCCAAUCAAUGAUGAAGAUGUAAGAAUUACUCCAACUUUUAUACUUUUAUUAUCCUACUCAAUAAAGACAGUUGUCUAAUAAUAGUAUAUUUGUACUUGAUACUGCAGCAUGGCCAGCGAAAUCACAUUAUCAGACUCUGAGUCAAAUAUAACAAUGUGAUUUUAUCAUCGUCACUGAAUCUGAAGAGAUCAGAAAUCAUGAAAGUGGGGAAGCAAAUAUAUAUUGAUAUGGUGCCAAAGAAACUGAUCAAUUUUGCCAUCCAAUUUGCACAAGCGUCUCAAGAAGAAGACAUAGCAGCAACUACUCAACCAAAGCCUGCUAAGAAGAAGACUGUCAGAUUUGCAAAAAACCUCACCAGCAAUUUUAAUG
rnacentral:lncRNA from 1 species